GACAGAGGGUGCAAACGUUGUUCGGAAUUACUGGGCGUAAAGGGCGCGUAGGCGGCCAGCACAAGUCAGUUGUGAAAUCUCCGAGCUUAACUCGGAAAGGUCAACUGAUACUGUGCGGCUAGAGUGCGGAAGGGGCAACUGGAAUUCCAGGUGUAGCGGUGAAAUGCGUAGAUAUCUGGAGGAACACCGGUGGCGAAGGCGGCAUCCUGGACCGGUAUUGACGCUGAGGAGCGAAAGCCAGGGGAGCAAACGGG
rnacentral:rRNA from 1 species